GAAAAGCAUCGGUUAAUAUCCGGUGUAAUAGACGGUACCUCAGAAGAAAGCACCGGCUAACUCCGUGCCAGCAGCCGCGGUAAUACGGAGGGUGCAAGCGUUGUUCGGAAUUAUUGGGCGUAAAGCGGGUGCAGGCGGCCGCGUGUGUCUGAUGUGAAAGCCCUGGGCUCAACUCAGGAAGUGCAUUGGAAACUGCGUAGCUUGAAUCUCGGUGAGGGUGGUGGAGUUCCUGGUGUAGAGGUGAAAUUCGUAGAUAUCAGGAGGAACACCGGUGGCGAAGGCGACCACCUGGACGAUGAUUGACGCUGAGACCCGAAAGCGUGGGGAGCAAACAGGAUUAGAUACCCUGGUAGUCCACGCCGUAAACGAUGGAUACUAGUUGCAGCGGGAGGUGACACCUGCUGUGAUGUAGUUAACACGUAAGUAUCCCCCCUUGGAAUUGACCUUGGA
rnacentral:rRNA from 1 species